AACACUGUAACCAGGAUAAGAGAUAGGAGCGGAAAGGAUUCUCGAGCCAAAAACGCUUCGAGGGGAUAGCGAGCACACUGAGGACGAGUAGAAGCCAUGGCUUCUCUCCACACUUGCAACUCCUUCCCCUUCCCCCUCCCCCUACCCUCCUUACGAACCCGCAUCUACGAUCCCAAACCCUGCAGAUCUCUCCUACUCUUACCCUCAAAGCCCCUUCGAAUCCAGAGCUCGAAAGCCUCCAUUAAUGGCGAAAGCGAAGCUCCGGCACCCCCCAAACCCACCCGCCGAGGUCGAAAGAAGUCGUCGACCGCAGAUACGGUCCCCUCAUCCCCAUCUCCCGCCAAAAGAACCCGACGGUCGAAGAAGAACCCACAGGAACCCGAAGAACCCAAAGCAGAGAGAUCGAAAGAAGAAGGAAAGGAGGAAGGCGACGACGACGAGUUCGACGACGGGAUCGACUUCCCCUACGAAUCUCCGCCGUUGAUCUGCUGCUUCGGUGCUGCGCAGCGGGAAUUCGUCCCCACCGUCCGAAUCUCAAAGCGCCAGAUGCACCCCGACCAGUACUCCUCGUGGAAGCAGCUCCAGUGGAGCCCGCCGGAGUUCGCGCGAGCCCCCGGCGGCUCGCCCUCCAACGUCGCAGUCUCGCACGUGCGCCUCGGCGGCCGCGCCGCCUUCAUGGGGAAGGUCGGCGACGACGACCUCGGCAACGAUCUCGUCUACCGCAUGAACUUGGAGAAGGUGCAAACCCGCGCCGUGAAGAUCGAUAAGAAUGUUAAGACCGCGGCUUCCUACAUGAGAUUAGGGUUCCGAGAUCAGGAAGAUGGGAAGGGGAAGAGAUUGGUGGCUGAGACUGUUAAAGGCUGUGCCGAGGAUUCGUUUGUGAAAUCCGAUGUAGAUGUUGCUGUUCUCAAAGAGGCUAGGAUCUUGCACUUCAACUCUGAAGUACUCUUAACUUCUUCAAUGCAUCCCCCACUAUUCAGGGCCAUUCAGUUAUCGAAAAAGUUCGGAAGCAAAGUGUUUUUCGAUCUAAACUUGCCAUUACCACUAUGGAAGUCGAAAGAAGAAACUUGGGAAGUGAUUAAAAAGGCGUGGAAUGAGGCUGAAAUUAUUGAGGUCUCAAGGCAGGAGCUCGAGUUCCUCUUAGACGAGGAAUAUUACGAGAAGAAACGGAAUUACACACCUCAAUACUACGCAGAAUCUUAUGAGCAAACAAAGAGGAUGAGGGAUUAUUACCAUUAUUUGAGGGAAGAGAUUGCUCCCCUUUGGCAUGAUAAGAUAAAGAUACUUUUUGUGACUGACGGAACGCUUAGAAUUCAUUACUACACGCCCAAGUUUGAUGGUGCGGUGGUCGGGACAGAGGACGUGUUGAUUACUCCAUUCACGUGUGAUCGGACCAGUUCGGGGGAUGCUGUUGUGGCUGCAAUAAUUAGGAAGUUGACUACCCAUUUGGAUAUGUAUGAGGAUCAAGACAUUUUGGAAAGGCAGCUUCGAUUUGCUGUGGCAGCGGGGAUUAUUUCUCAGUGGACGAUUGGUGCAGUAAGAGGAUUCCCAACUGAGAGUGCCACUCAGAAUUUGAAAGAGCAAGUUUAUGUGCCCUCAAUGUGGUGACAUCUUGGCUACAGAUAUAUAUGUUAGAGAUUGAUAAUUUCUGAUUGUUAGAGAAUAUAUGGUAUUGGAACAAGGGCUGUGUAGUGCUGGAGACUUGAGCCUUGCUGAAGUGAGACGGCGCUUUAUUCCCAGUUGAUUUUCAAGGGGUGUUGAUGAGGACUGGGGGUUUUUGCAGUUUUAAGUGCAGGCCAUCUAAAGGAAGUUGAGAAUUAUAUAAAGAUGAGCAGAAUCUUUCAAAUUUCACGAACCGGCGGGUCCGAUCGCUGCACCAGGCUUGGCAGUGUCUCCUCCGUCAACCCCAGCGCCGCGCCUCUUCUCCGUGCCUCAUGAGGUACAUGUCUUCCACUCUCGCUGUCCAAGUGUUCAAUCCAACAAGACCCCAAGAAGCCCAUCAUCGCCGCGAAAGAAAGGAGAACAAGAAUUGCCGUCCUCGUUGUCGUAAAGCUAUCCGAAAACCUCUUAUCUUUACAGAGCGGCGGCCUCUUUCCUGGUGGUGGCGCAGUGGUCGGGUGAUGAUCGUCAGCCACAGCAUCAACCGUGUCGUCAUUCUCCGAUGGUUGGAAAGGUCUUUCGAGAUCGCCGGAGUAGUCGGACGCCCGCCGCCUCAUCGGGCCGGAGGCUAUUGGAUUGAAGCUGGCGGUGGCGGCCGCCGGAGUGGGCCCAGCAAUGCUUCCCAUCGCCAGAGGUACCCAAAGAAAGAAAGAGAGACAGAAUGGGCGAGGGAGAGAAAAGCCCGGGAAAUAGGACGUGAUUAAAUGGUGUUUAACAAUCUCUCUCUCUCUCUCUCUCUCUCUCUCUCUCGGCAGAGUUAUAUAUGAUUACAAUUACAAUUUAUAUAUAGUUAGUGGCUAAAAUUUCUCUCUAUUUUCUUUCUUUUCUUUUCUUUUCUUUUUUUCCCCCUUAAAAUGGUUUCUCUCUGCUUUUCAUCAAGUGAUGGAGGUCCUCUAACAGGAAUGCCAUAUUUGGACUUGGGAAUAAGUAACUUGGGACGGCCAUAAGAUCUUGUGAUCCUGUCAAGUGAUAAAACAAAUACGUGCUUAUCAUUUAGAAAGAAA